UGCAAGUCGGACGGGAUUGCAGUGCAGCUUGCUGUACUGCAUGAGAGUGGCGCACGGGUGCGUAACGCGUGAGCAACCUGCCCAUAUCAGGGGGAUAGCCCGGAGAAAUCCGGAUUAACACCGCAUAACACAGUAUUUCCGCAUGGAUUUUCUGUUAAAUAUUUAUAGGAUAUGGAUGGGCUCGCGUGACAUUAGCUAGUUGGCGGGGUAACGGCCCACCAAGGCGACGAUGUCUAGGGGCUCUGAGAGGAGAAUCCCCCACACUGGUACUGAGACACGGACCAGACUCCUACGGGAGGCAGCAGUAAGGAAUAUUGGUCAAUGGGCGCAAGCCUGAACCAGCCAUGCCGCGUGCAGGAAGACUGCCCUAUGGGUUGUAAACUGCUUUUAUCCGGGAAUAACCCCCUCUACGAGUAGAGGGCUGAAUGUACCGGAAGAAUAAGGAUCGGCUAACUCC
rnacentral:rRNA from 1 species